CCCUUAGAUGUUCUGGGCCGCACGCGCGCUACACUGAGUGGAUCAGCGGGUCAGGUUGCGCGAAAGUGUUUCCUAAUCUUGAAAUCCGCUCGUGAUGGGGAUUGACGGUUGCAAUUUUCCGUCAUGAACGAGGAAUACCUUGUAAGCGCGGGUCAUCAUCCCGCGCUGAAUACGUCCCUGCCCUUUGUACACACCGCCCGUCGCUCCUACCGAUUGAGUGGUCCGGUGAGGCUUUGGGAUCUGAGCAAAAAGAGCGUUUCGCUCGUUUGGCUCGGAAAACUCAGUCGAACCUUAUCAUUUAGAGGAAGGAGAAGUCGUAACA
rnacentral:rRNA from 1 species